UCCACCGCUCCAGCCGGGCCCGCAGCGUCUCCAGGCAGACGGGGUGCCCAGGCCUCACGCAGCCCCACCGUUGCCCUCCCCCAAGCCGCCUCCCCGGACCCCCAGCUGCACUGGUCCUGCCUGUCCCCCCGGCAGGGUGCCCACCGGUGGUCGGUGCGGCGAAGACCAGGACUCUGGAGGGAGAUGGGCGCUCUGGGAGAGGGCUCCCACAGCACAUCACCACGACACGCUUGAAGCCGCGUAGCUGCACGUGGCACGGACUUGGCUGCGGGCCCGGCCCCCAGGUCCCUGCAUCUGCGACGUCAGCCAUGACAGUGACCGGACCACCCCCCAAGGCCGAUUCAGCUCACAGACAGCCAAGCACGGCCGCACUUCCUCCACAUCUGCUAGGGAAGAACCUGGCUGCCCGCGCCUGAGGUUUUAGAGCAGGACGAGACGGCCCUUUCCCAGAACAGGCAGGACCCGGAGCGAGGCAGACGGGGUCGGCAGCCUAAGCCUGGCCCCCGGCCUCGCACUAACCCCGAGGGACGUCCUCCGGCUUUCGGGGCCUCAUGCAGAAACGAGGCGGCUAACACCUGCAUUUGUGAUCUCCACUGGUGAGCUGGUUAAAUACUGGUAAGUGAGAUGCACUUACCACCCGUGAAACGUCGAAGGCCAAGUGAUCCGGGCUCCUGGGCUUAGCAGUGACGGCCCUGCUGUCCAGAGCACAGCCCACCCAGGACAGGCUGGAGGAUGCUGGAAAGUGCUAGAAGAGCUAGCUGAACAGUGGCCUCUCCCUCUG